GCCGGUGUGGUGGAAUAGGCAGACACAAGGGACUUAAAAUCCCUCGGACUAAUACUCCGUACCGGUUCAAGUCCGGUCACCGGCACCA
rnacentral:tRNA from 3 species